UACGUAGGGGGCAAGCGUUAUCCGGAAUCAUUGGGCGUAAAGCGCGUGUAGGUGGUUCAGUAAGUCCGCUCUGAAAGCCCAAGGCUCAACCUUGGGAGGCGGGUGGAUACUGUUGGACUAGAGUCCGGAAGAGGAGAUUGGAAUUCCUGGUGUAGCGGUGAAAUGCGCAGAUAUCAGGAGGAACACCGAUAGCGAAGGCAGAUCUCUGGGACGUGACUGACACUGAGACGCGAAAGCGUGGGGAGCAAACAGG
rnacentral:rRNA from 1 species